UUACCGGUAUUUUCGAGUGCAUGGCGGCACGGAUUCAUUCGUUCGUGCACUCAGACUGGUUCCUUCUUUUUUGCUAAAACUGGUUGAUUGCGCUUCGAUGUCUCGCGUGGCAGCACCUGGGGUGAAGUGACGUGUUUGCAAGCGGACAUGUAGUCCCGAAAGUUGGGUAUCGGUCGUGAGCCAUUCGGAACACGUCUGUAUCGAAACGGGAGCUGGAUUCUGGUGCGGCUAACAACGGCAAUAACGACAUGCAGCAGUGAGGACGGCACCAGUAUAAAGCAACACACUCCACGCACUAAACAGAAGCUGCUGCCUGCUACAACAAGGUCAUUGUGUGGACGUUGGCUACUACUACAAGAGUCCAUGCCAAGCAUAUAUUGGUCAUCACAGGAGCUCCUAUCCACACCAACAGAAAGGAGCUGGAACCGAAUUUGCAAGGCUUUUACACCACGAACAAAGAAGAGCAUGCAGAAGAAUUUGCAUGAGAUAUCAAGUCUGCAGAUCACUGUGUCAAGACUGUAAAGAGCUUCAGCUACAAUUCCACCAGCAUGGACAAAUUGGCUGAGUCAUCCAGGUAACUCAAAAAGGACUUUAUAGAAAUUCUUCGUCUUCAGAUGCACCUGCAACUUCUUAUCAAGCACGGACGACACUGACCAAAAGAGUUCCAUCAGUUUGCCCUUAAUCACCUUCCUGGCCAUGUCAAUUCCAUUUGUGCCAAGUGUAAUUUUUCUUCUAUAAAUGCAAGCUUCGUCAUUGCCCAUUCUCGUUAGAGAUCAUUCAUCCUCAUCCACACAUAGAGGUCAACCGAUUCUUCGCUGAUACUUAAUACCAGUCACUGUCCAGUACCAUAACAUAUCUGUAGCAGUACCUUUUAGUGUAUGUUGUCAUGCACAAUUCCUCUCCUGAAAUAGCCAAUGCAAAAUCGACAUGUGUCUUGCAUUAAUCUACGCACCAUUUGCUGUGCACCAGUUUACUUUUCUUGAUGUUUUUGGCCUUCAAUGCUUGCACAGCAGAGUGGCUUCUCUCUUGAAUGCGAGCUUUCUCAUUUUUCAUAUUCCUAGUCUCGUUGAUGAUUGCUCUUCUUCCUCGAUAGCCUGGGUCUUUGCGCAAGCUACACUGAAUGAUUGAUUGCAGAAUCUGGUUUUGCUGUCCCACUGGGUUGUGGUCGCCGUGUUACAUUUCUAGGAUGUGGGGGCCUGGUCAGUUGCAUUGGUAACAGUCUCUCAAGGUAAGCAUUUGCUCCUGCAGUCCGCACAGCGACAUAGACUCCCAGUAUACACGCACCGUAACUGGUGCUCCCGUUCAUUCUUUCCUGCCACAGCCAUAGGCAAAUUGUACUAGUGGCCUGCCUCGGCCAUGAUUUGUUCAGAACGGAGACCAGCAUACGUGCUUACAUGGUCCGAUGUGUUUGAAGUUGAUAGCCACAUAGAUGGAAAGGCCCGCAAAAAUGGCUGCCGAAGGUGAUGCUCACGAAAGCGACUUGUCCAUAUUGAGACAAAGUGAGACACCAAAUGUGAGCCACACAUUAGCGGCCCUCGACAGAAAAGAAACGUGCAGGUUGGAAAGGAGUUAACGCUAAAAUGCCGGAUAGUCCAUUUCGCUGUGUUGGUUGCGGCAGCAGAUGCCUGCGUCACCUGAUUGCUUCGCAAUGGAAGUUGCUCAUCUUCAACGGCAACUGUCGGUUAAAACAGGUGCAAUGCUCUGUCCAAUCUGUUUGUACUGCUGGCUGUCGCUUGUUACCAGACCACCACAUGCGACGAAGGCAAGCAUUAUGCCUGUAAGUAGGCGGCUGAAUGUAUCCUAAGAGACCCAUGUAUGUGAAUGCUCACUGUUGCCAUAUGGUUCGUAGCCAAUGUAUAAUGUAUUCUCUGAACCUCAUGCAUCGAUUGAUUGCUGCUUCACCCGCCGCGGUUGCUCAGUGGCUAUCGUGUUGGGCUGCCGAGCACGAGGUCGCGGGACCAAAUCCCAGCAGCCGUGGCCGCAUUUCGAUGGGGGUGAAAUGCGAAAACACCCAUGUACUUAGAUUUAGGUGAGCGUUAAAGAACCCCAGGUGGUCGAAAUUAGUGGAGUCCUCCACUACGGCGUGCCUCAGAAUCGGAAAGUGGUUUUGGCACGUUAAACCCCAUAAUUUAAUUUUUUUAAUUGCUGCUUAAUUUCGCUGUCAUCUUACUUGGUUACGGUCGCCGUUUUAUGUUUUUCGAAUAUGGCAGCCAGGUCAGUUACAUUGGGAAGCAGUCUCUUGAAGUAAGCAUUUGCUCCUCCAGCCCACACAGCGACAGCGGCUCUUAAUUUACACACACCGUGAUUCGUGCUCCCUGUUCAGCCUUUCCUGCUGCAGCCACGGACAAAUUGUGCCUGUGGCCUUUCCCGGCUGCGAUUAAGCACGAACGGAGACCAGCACAUGUGCUUACAUGGUCCGAUGUGUAUGAAGUGGGGUGGAAAGGCUUGCAAAAGUGGCUGAUGAAGGUGAUGCCCGUGAAAGCGACUUGUCCAUAUUGAGACAAUGUGGGACACCAAGUGUGAGCCACACAUUAUCGGCCCCCGAAAGAAAAGAAAUGUGCAGGUUGGAAAGGAGUCAACGCUAAAAGGCCGGGUAGUCCAUGUAGCUGUGUAGGCUGCAGCAGCAGAUGCCUGCGAUUGUUUCGCAAUGCAAGUUGCUCUUCAUUAAUGGCGACUGUCCCUGCAAACAGGUGGGACACACUGUCCAAUCUGUUUCUACUGCUGGUUGUCACUUAUUACCAGACCACCACAUGCGAUGAAAGCAAGCAUUACGCCUGUAAGUAGGUGGCUGAAUGUAUCCUAAAAGAUCCGUGUAUGUGAAUGCUCACUGUUGCCAUAUGGUUUGUAGCCAAUGUAUAAUGUAUUGUCUGAACACUAUGUGGUGAAUGAUUGCCGUUUAUUUUUGCUGUUAUCUCACUUGGUUACGGUCGUUGUGUUAUACUUAUCGGAUGUAGCGGCCUGGUCAGUUGCAUUGGAAAGCAGUCUCUCGAAGUAAGCAUUUGCUCCUGCAAUCUGCACAGCGACAUGGACUCCUAAUUUACACACCGUGAUUCGUGCUCCCCGUUCAGCCUUUCCUGCUGCAGCCAUGGGCAAAUUGUGCCUGUUGCCUUUCUCGGCCGCGAUUAAGCACGAACGGAGACCGGCAUACGUCCUUACAUGGUUCGACGUGUGUGAAGUUGGGUGCAAAGGCCCGCAAAAGCGGCUGAUGAAGGCGAUGCCCACGAAAGCGACUUGUCCAUAUUGAUACAAUGUGGGACACCAAGUGCGAGCCACACAUUAGCGGCCCGCGAAAGAAAAGUAACGUGCAGGUUGGAAAGGAGUUAAGGCUAAAAUGCCGAGUAGUCCAUGUCGUUGUGUUGGCUGCGGCAGCAGAUGCCUGGUUCACCCGAUUGCUUCGCAAUGCAAGUUGCUCAUCUUUAACGGCGACUGCCGCUGCAAACAGGCGGGACACUCUGUCCAAUCUGCUUGCGCCGCUGGUUGUCGCUCGUUACUAGACCGCCAUGUGCGACAACGGCGAGCCGUUUACGAGCUCGCGUCAAAUAUUCCAGCGUAUCUCGACAUACACAUUUUAUUUCUACCAUUGCCCGAGAAUGCACACUGCUUAUCUUCUGCCAAUAAAGUCGCACGUCCUGUUCACUCACUUGUGGAUUGUUUGUAUGGGCGUCAGUAGAGGCUCUUUGGUCUCCUGGCAUUUAGAACGCACCGGCUGCGCGGCAGCCGAGGUAUCGAGGCAUGCCGCAUAGCCGGCGGGGCGAAUACGGCGCGUACGAGCGGAUACAAGCGUACAAGACGGGCGAAAAGCGGCCAUAAUUGAUAAUGCUCUAAAAAAAAAAAAAAAAAAAGGUGCGCAUUUCUGCUUCCUGUUUUAGCAUCGUCAUCUGGCGUCCACCUAGGUAAGUUCCAUGCGCUGCCGCUGCUUAUUUUCGAACCACUGCCAAAGGUACAGUUUCCCUUCUCUAAAGUUGUUCUUUAUUCUAUGCCCAUACUUCAAGAGAACCGUUCCAGAAUAUAUGACGGCGAUAAUGGGGAUGUGAAAUGUUUACAUUUACAUGGUUAAAAAGUGUAGCCAAAAGUUAAUGGAACACAGGUGCGGCAUUUUACGAUCCAUUUGAUUUUCCACUUUUUUAACCCUUUGUGGCACUUGGUACUAAGGAUGAGAAUAAUGGAAAAUGACCAGGAUCAUUACAAAAUAUGGCCAAAGGUUGAUGAUCCAACAAUCUUGAUGUACAUUGCAAACUGGGGCACACUGGUCUGCCAUUCCAAUGUAUGGUUGUACCAAU